rnacentral:rRNA from 1 species
UACGAAGGGGGCUAGCGUUGCUCGGAAUUACUGGGCGUAAAGGGCGCGUAGGCGGAUGUUUAAGUCGGGGGUGAAAGCCCGGGGCUCAACCUCGGAAUUGCCUUCGAUACUGGACAUCUUGAGUACGGGAGAGGUGAGUGGAACUCCGAGUGUAGAGGUGAAAUUCGUAGAUAUUCGGAAGAACACCAGUGGCGAAGGCGACUCACUGGCCCGUUACUGACGCUGAGGCGCGAAAGCGUGGGGGAGCAAACAGG